rnacentral:tRNA from 1 species
GCCUGGGUGGCUCAGUGGGUUAAGCUUCUGACUUUGGCUCAGGUCAUGAUCUUGCAGUUAGUGAGUUAAAGCCCCACUUCUGGCU